rnacentral:rRNA from 1 species
ACGAACGCUGGCGGCGUGCUUAACACAUGCAAGUCGAACGGAAAGGCCCUGCUUUUGUGGGGUGCUCGAGUGGCGAACGGGUGAGUAACACGUGAGUAACCUGCCCUUGACUUUGGGAUAACUUCAGGAAACUGGGGCUAAUACCGGAUAGGAGCUCCUGCUGCAUGGUGGGGGUUGGAAAGUUUCGGCGGUUGGGGAUGGACUCGCGGCUUAUCAGCUUGUUGGUGGGGUAGUGGCUUACCAAGGCUUUGACGGGUAGCCGGCCUGAGAGGGUGACCGGCCACAUUGGGACUGAGAUACGGCCCAGACUCCUACGGGAGGCAGCAGUGGGGAAUAUUGCACAAUGGGCGGAAGCCUGAUGCAGAAACGCCGCGUGCGGGAUGACGGCCUUCGGGUUGUAAACCGCUUUCGCCUGUGACGAAGCGUGAGUGACGGUAAGGGGUAAAGAAGCACCGGCUAACUACG